CCUACGGGAGGCAGCAGUGAGGAAUAUUGGUCAAUGGACGAGAGUCUGAACCAGCCAAGUAGCGUGAAGGAUUACUGCCCUAUGGGUUGUAAACUUCUUUUAUAUGGGAAUAAAAUGUUCCACGUGUGGGCUUUUGUAUGUACCAUAUGAAUAAGGAUCGGCUAACUCCGUGCCAGCAGCCGCGGUAAUACGGAGGCUCCGAGCGUUAUCCGGAUUUAUUGGGUUUAAAGGGAGCGUAGGUGGAUUGUUAAGUCAGUUGUGAAAGUUUGCGGCUCAACCGUAAAAUUGCAGUUGAAACUGGCAGUCUUGAGUACAGUAGAGGUGGGCGGAAUUCGUGGUGUAGCGGUGAAAUGCUUAGAUAUCACGAAGAACUCCGAUUGCGAAGGCAGCUCACUGGACUGCAACUGACACUGAGGCUCGAAAGUGUGGGUAUCAAACAGGAUUAGAUACCCCAGUAGUC
rnacentral:rRNA from 1 species